UUUUGCAGGUGCAAAAAAUUCCAGAGUGAUUGCGCCUCUCGGUUUCAGUUUUGGUUGAGAAGAAUGUUUUAAAAUCUAAACACCCAAACACCCGUCCCCAUGAAUCAUCAGGGAAAGAGAAUACCCAAGAUGUUCCAUCUGCCGGGAGCCUGGGUCAUAGAUCAGAGAAGGCUUAUACUCUCCAGAUUCUCUCUAAUGCACUAGUUCAAAGGUGCUGACAUUCCCAAUCGCCAAGUUAUGUUUGAACCCACUGUCUGAAGUUUCAGGAGAACCGUGGCAGCUAAAGGGGGAUCUCGUGCUAUAAAUUCUGCAGCACCUUUCUUCUCUGCGAAGUUGACGAAUUGUAGUUUUAAUGCAAUUAUGAAAUACAGCAGAGAUUUCAUUUCCCAGGCUGAGCUCUGGCACAUCCAGGGGAUAGACACAGGAAUCGUGGUAAAAGUGUGAAAUACAGCUCAAAGCCUUUGCCCAAAUCCCACCCGAUGUGUUCAGGGAUCACUUGUAACACCGCCAUGAUAUGGGAAGGAAACCACAGGCUGGUUUCAUAGAUUCAACACCGUGUACAACGUUCCCACUCUUUCCCAGGGCUGUUCUCAGUGUUAGAGAACUGUAUAGACAUGAACAAAACCAAGUCCUUGUUCCAGUGGAGCUUAAAUUCUAGGAGGGGUGGACAUUCAACCCAUAAAUCAUCUCCGAGUGACAAUAAACUAUGGAGAAAAAUAAAGCUGGAUAAGAGAGAUAGGGAGUGAAUGGGGGAUAUUUCAACUUUCAUUUUAGAGCUUAAAGGGUCAGUUGAAAUGAUGGCAGUUGCAAAGGCCCGCAGUUAGUGGGAAAGAAGGAAAACUGUGUGUAUCAGCAGGGUUCAGUUGCAGGAAACAGAAACCACUCCAGCUAUUUUAAGCAGAAAAGCAGUGAACAGAGAGAAGCAGGUGUUUCUAGCAUUGUGUGAAAGGCUGGAGGAGCCAACUUUCGGGCUGCUUCCACGUCUGCCAUGGCUGUGAAGGUUGGCGAUCAGGAGGCUGUCCCUGGAAACACAUGGCUGUCCUAGAAAUAUAAGAAUCAGGAAGUCCCUGUCACCCCAUUCUGACUAUCUCCUGGCACCCACUGAAUUAGUGACCGGAAGCCCCAAUGUCUCCACAGUCAUGUUCGCCAAGGGUUACAGCCAAAUCAGCAGGAAGGUGGAUUUUGCUGCCAUGCUGACUUCCGGUCUCAUGCAAAUGGAUUUAAUUAGUUGAACAUCACUCACAUUUAGAAGCCCAGAUACAAAAAAGACUAGGAAACAUGGUGCUAGAUUUCCAGGCUCUCCACUAGAGAAAGGCAUACUAGAAGGAAUUGGGAAUGGGUACUCAGUGCCUACUCAGGAUAUCUAUGCACCUCGAAGAAGUCACUCUUUACUGAGAACACCAAAGAAAGUAGGAAAUCCCAGAACUGCAAGGACCACCACUGCUUCUCUGUGUGUCUGAUUCUCUUCCAGAGGAAUACUUCUCUUAGUGCUACAUUGAAGACCCUACAGGGAAUCAAUACCACACACACAGGCUCUCUGAGGGAACUCUCUUGAAGGAUGAGCUGCUUCCAGCAAAGGAUAAAUGGGGAAACUUCAACAAAAGCACUGAUGGUGAACAUUGAAUGUAUGUAAUUGUGUAGCAAAGACCAAAACAAGGAUGGGGACAUGAUCAAAUAAUAGUAUGUAAACAGGAUGGAUUCUGGCCAAGGGGGAAGAAUGGUAGAAGAAGGAAAAGAGAAGGGACAAUUGUCGCAUUCAUUAUUCAUUCUCUUGUAUUAGUCAUUCUAUCAAUGAUAUUGAUAGUUAUGGGGUAAAAGUCCUAUCAAACCACUUAAAAUGGACAGAUCAGACAGUAACAAGUUAAGAAAAAGAUAGACCAAAAGUAUUACAAAAGGCAUAAGUCUAGAAGUAUCCAAAUAUUCCUGCAUCAAAACAACUAUGACAAAAUAUCUUGAUCCAAUAUUACAGCUGCUACAGACAGUAUUUGUGUCUCUCCACAAUUCAUAUGUUGAAGCCUCUUCCCCCAGUAGGAUGCUAUUGAGAAGUGGGGCCUUGGCAGGUGAUUAGAUCAUGAGGGUAGAGCUCCCAUGAAUACUAUUCAUGCCCCGAUGAGAGAGGCUCCAAAGAGCUUCCUCCUCCCUGCCGCCAUGUGAGGACACAGCAAAACACAGCCAUCUGGUGCCUUCAUCUUGGAUUUCCCUCCUCCAGAACUGUGAGAAAUAAAUUUCUGCUGUUUAUAAGCCACUCAGUCUAUAGUAUUCUUGGUAUAGCAGCCUGAAUGGACUAAGGCAAUGGCUCUGGAAAUUACUCAGUUCAGGGAUUUGGAGCAGAGGAUGAGGAAAUGUUCACACAUGAGAAUCUGAGGAGAGGAAAGUGUGUGUCUAGAAAGAAAACCGUGCUUUGUCUCAUGGCUUUGAUUUGGUUUUAGUUACCUGAUUUCAUCUAUUUGGCAUUUUAUAAACAUUUCAAUAGUGUAUGAGAUUUUAUGAUGAUAAAAGGAGAAAACGGGUUCAAAGGGGCUAAGAAGCACUCAUCAAGGGAGUUUCCAUAUUUGGAGGAAAAGUGCAGCCACAUGAAAUCAAAUCUCUUCAUACAGACCUUAAAUUCAACAGGAAAGAAAACCAUCCAUGAUUCAUGACUUCAGCAUUAGAAGAAAGAAUACCUCAAACUUCAAAUUACCGAUAAGUAGAGAAAUGAACACCUAUCCCAAGAGAGUUCCUAUCACUUGUCACUAUAAGCUGGGAACAGAGUGUAGGAGAAAAGAGAUGUAAAAUCUCUGGGGAAAAGAGUAAAGAGACACAGAAAGGAACUAAUGAGAAAACUUAGGAUCUUGUAGAAAUGACAUAUAAAUAUGGCAUGAUGGCUCUGCUCCCCUACUGUCCACUAAUGACAUUUUGCUCCACUGCACUGACAGCUAAGGACCGAGAACAUUCUUGAAUUAGGAACUCUGUUACAAAACGCCCAGGAAAAUUAAAAAAAAAAAAAAUCAACCUAACUCUGUAAAGAGUUGCUAUUAGAAGAACACAGAAAAUGAGAAUCACAGCAAUUGAACUGAUAAAAAUUCUCCACCCCAAACCAAUCACAAAGCAGAAGAAAACUGUACAGUAAUGCUCUCUUACUUCAGUAAGGGAGAUACUUAGGAAAACACCAAAAUCAUAAAUUUAAAAAUUAAGGCCAUACAUGGGUACAAAAUAUGAAGAAAUGCAAUAAGAGUUGAUUGACUUUGGGAAAUAAACUGAAGAAAAAUACAAAAACUUUUCAAAAAUGAAGAACAAAUACAAAGUGCUCAAAAGAAAACAGAUUUGGGUGUUGCAUGAUUUCAGCAUUGGAGGAGGGCAGAUAAGUAAUCAAGAGAAUGAAAAUAAAAUUAAGAAAGGUGUUGCCAGGGUUGAAGACAAUGUGAUUGAAAUGGAAGACAGGCAAAUAAGGUCCAACAUACAUACAGUAGCAGCUCUUGAAGAAGAAAAAUAAAGC